AACCCAUGCAUAGGAAACUUUCUUAGAAAAUCCUUGAAUCUUUCCCAUGCUUCAUACAAGCUUUCAUCCUCCAUUUUCUUGAAUGAAGUUAGAUUAUUUCGUAGUUU